UGCCUACGGGGGGCAGCAGUGAGGAAUAUUGGUCAAUGGGCGAGAGCCUGAACCAGCCAAGUCGCGUGAAGGAUGACGGCCCUACGGGUUGUAAACUUCUUUUGUCAGGGAGCAAUUGAGUCCACGUGUGGUCUUAGCGAGAGUACCUGAAGAAAAAGCAUCGGCUAACUCCGUGCCAGCAGCCGCGGUAAUACGGAGGAUGCGAGCGUUAUCCGGAUUUAUUGGGUUUAAAGGGUGCGCAGGCGGGCUGUUAAGCCGGCGGUAAAAAUUCAGGGCUCAACCCUGUCGAGCCGUCGGAACUGGCG
rnacentral:rRNA from 1 species